UGCUGGUACUAUGUGUUCUCUUUUCAUGGUCCUCAUCGCCACUGUGAUUCUCUCGGAUUCUGGGUUAACCUGCUACCAUGGGGAGUGCACAUCAGGUAUUGUGCUCUCUCCUCCAAUCAUUCCAAACCCUGAAACCAAUAACUUGCUCAGUGAACGAAGUGAACAAGUGCUGACCCAUUCUUAUUUGGAUCCUUUUGUCUUUGCACAAUGGUUAUGUCUUGUUUGCACCUCUGUCCUGGAAUCAAACUUUUUACAGUCUGAUAAAUCUCUUGUCAUGUUGCAUGCUAGAUUACACUCCAAAACAGAAACACCUAGCAACCCUGAAAUUAGUAGGAAAAGAUUUCUGUUGCUACUUUUACUCUUGAUUUCUGGUAUCCAGCCAAAUCCUGGUCCUGGCAUUGCUAUUUGUAACACACCUGCUGAAUUUAAGGAUAGGACCGGGCUAGGUUUAAUACAUCUGAAUAUUCGUAGUCUGCCAUCAAAGAUUGAUAUGCUGCAUAUCUGGGCAAAAUCAACUGAUGCAGAUGUCAUUGUUCUGUCGGAAACGUGGCUCAGUAAAUCUUAUUCUGACAAAGCAAUCGCCAUCAAAGGGUAUAAUGUAUUUAGGGCUGACCGUCCUAGGAAAGGGGGCGGGGUUGCAAUUUAUUGUAAAUCAAAAUUUAAUGUAAAUGUCCUGCAGUCCAAAUCAAUCAGUAAACAGUUUGAAUUCUUAGCCAUAAAACUUGAUAUUUCAAAUGGGUUUUCCAUCACUGUUGUGGGCUGCUAUAGACCCCCAUCAGCUACUGCUGAAGCGCUAACUUCUCUGAAUCAGCUAUUAGCUGAACUGACCUAUAAUGAAAUAAUAUUAACUGGUGAUCUAAAUUGGGAUUGGCUAAAUUCUAACUCUGAUGCCUUCAAAGAUUCCUGUGUUUCAUUGAAUCUUACGCAGCUCAUUGAAAGCCCCACACACCCAAAUUUGAAGUGUCCAGAUAAAUCAUCUUUAAUUGUCUUGGUCUUGACUAAUGUACCACACAAGUAUUCGAUGUCAGGUGUUUUUGCAAAUGAUAUUAGUGACCACUGUGUGAUUGCUGCAGUCAGAAAUGCCAAAGUUCCAAAAUCCAAACCUCGUAUUCUGAUAAAACGUAAUAUGAGGGCCUUUGUUGAACAGGCGUUCUUCCGUGAUUUAUAUGAUCUUAACUGGGAUCGUAUUGAAUUAAUUAAUGAUGUAGAGACUGCAUGGCAAUUUUUCUCUGAAGGUUUAUCUUCCCUGCUUGAUAAGCAUGCUCCCUUCAGAAAAUAUAAGGUUAAGGGGAGGGAUAAUCCCUGGUUCACGCCCGAUUUAGCCGAUCUACUGCAUAAUAGAAAUCUUGCCUGGGCUAAGGCCAGAAAGACACAGUCUGAGGCAGAUAAACUUAUAUUUAGGCAACUCAGAAAUAGUUUUACCUAUCUUAUUAAAAAAGCAGAAUCUAGCUUUUAUCUCUCUGCAAUAACGAAAAAUUUAAACGACCCUAAAAAAUUUUGGAAAGUGAUCAAAUCUAUCUCAGCCACUGAAAAUCAUAGCGAACUCCCACCCUGUAUUGUUAAUGAUGCUACCACUGUAACUGACAGGGCAACUAUACUUGAUUGUUUUAAUACUCAUUUUUCUGCCUCUGGCUCCUUAUUCUCUCGGUCUUCUUCCACGAUUGCUAUGCCUGCCCUUAAUAUUGCGUCUUCUGCCCCAGAUGUUGGAAACAUGUCUCAAGGCCUUAUCCCUGCUGGUCAACCUUCCUUUGUUUUUAGGUUGUUUUCAGUGGAAGAGGUCCAUAGAGCUCUUUGCUCUCUUGAUAUCAGUAAAUCUGCAGGUCCAGAUCACUUGGAACCAUAUUUCUUAAAGUUAGCAGCUGAUUUUAUUGCCAAACCGCUCCAAUAUCUUUUUAACCUCACUAUCACCACAAAUUGUAUUCCUGAAAUUUGGAAAGUCGCUUACGUCCUUCCCCUUUUGAAAGGAGGGGACCCUACUUGCUUGAAUAAUUAUCGACCCAUCUCCAAGUUGUCCAUCCUGUCAAAGGUCCUUGAAGGUCUAGUAAACAAUCAGUUGAAAGAUUUUCUCCAUACUAACAACAUUCUCUCCCCAUACCAAUCCGGCUUUAGGAAACAACACAGCACAACUACAGCCUCACUCAAACUCACUAAUGAUAUAAUAGCCUGGCUGGAUCAAAAGAAAGUGUGCACAGCUCUCUUUGUUGACCUUUCUAAGGCCUUUGACACAGUGGAUCAUUCCAUUCUGAAGCAACGCCUGCUUGAUAUAGGUUUAUCUGAGCAGGCUGUUGGCUGGUUUAAUAAUUAUCUGUCUAAUAGAAAACAAUGUGUUUGUUUUGAAGGCAGCUCAUCCACACUGCUAAAUGUCUCUACUGGUGUGCCACAGGGCUCAGUUCUUGGCCCGAUUCUGUUUGUUAUUUAUGUAAAUACAUUGGGCAGUAACGUCCCAAAUGCCAAAUUUCAUUUUUAUGCUGAUGACACAGUUAUAUACUGUUGUGGCACCACUCUUGCCGAAGCCCUUGGCAACUUACAAAUUGCUUUUAACCUUGUGGAAAAUCAGCUCAUUGAACUUAGACUUGUCUUGAAUGCCGCCAAAACCAAACUGAUGAUAUUUUCCAAUGGCAGAAAAGUGCCUGUGUCUCCACCCAGCAUUUUGUCAUUGCAAGGGUAUGAAAUUGAGCUUGUGAACUGUUACAAGUAUCUCGGCAUUUUAAUUGAUGAUCGACUUUCUUUUAAACCACAUGUAGAAAAUCUGGUAAAAAUAUUAAGAGUGAAACUGGGAUUCUUCUUCCGUCACAAAUCUUGUUUUUCUUUUUUUACCAGAAAAAAGUUGAUUGCUACCACUUUCCUCCCUGUACUUGAUUACAGUGAUCUCUUAUAUAUGAAUGCCCCAGCAAACUGUCUGCGUCCUCUAGACACUGUAUAUCAUGGUGCCUUAAGGUUUGUCACUGGUUGUAAAGCCCUCACUCACCGCUGCAUCUUAUAUGCUCGAGUUGAGUGGCCAUCUCUGGCAGCACGCCGCCUUAUACAUUGGCAUAUUUUUAUUUAUAAAGCUAUCUUGGGUCUGCUCCCCCACUACUUAUGUAAGUACAUCUUUAAAUCCCAGAGCAAUUACUGCUUACGUUCAAAUGAGCUUUAUUUAUUAAUUAUGCCCAAAGUAAACACUGAAUUUGGUAAGCACUGUUUUAAGUUCGCUGCACCUGCUGCUUGGAAUGUACUGCAAAAAACCCUAAAGUUAAAGGAGCUCAUAAACCUUGACACUUUGAAGACUCGUGUGAGAGAAAUUGGAGCGGCUUCAUACCACACUUGUUCUUGUUUUGGUGGGAAUCCGGAGCUUUAGUCCUGUUGCCUUAUCUUAAGGGAACAGGGAACUUAUCUUGUUUGAUCUGUGUUAUGUGAUUUGUGUGUGUCUUGUGACUGUUUGACAUUUUGUAUGCUGCUGUCUUGGCCAGGCUUCCCUUGCAAAAGAGGUCAUUGUAUCUCAACGGGACCGACCUGGUUAAAUAAAGGCAAAUAAAAAAAUAAAGGUGACUAAAUUGGCAGCACUGCUAAAGAAAGUCCUGGAGAUCAUCAGGUCCAGUCAUGUGUGCGGCGAAUCGGAACUGAACUGGGUUCAGUUCUUAGACGGAGCCGUCUACCACAACCUGCAGAAAGCCAAAGACCUGAUUCAGCAGGACAGCUAGUGUGUCUGUGCAGCUAAAAGUGUGUGUUG